GCCUGGGUGGCUCAGUUGGUAGAGCAUCCGACGUCAGCUCCGGUCACGAUCUCAUGUUCGUGGGUUCGAGCCCCGCGUCGGGCU
rnacentral:tRNA from 1 species